GGCUUUGCGCAGUGGCAGGAUCAUAGCCAAUGAGGUUUAUCCAAGGCGUGAUUAUUGCUAAUUAAAAAAAAUUAAAAAACAAAAAACAUAUGCCUUGGACUUUAAGUAGAAUAAAAUGAAUUUGUAUUAAUCCCAUGA